UACGUAGGGUGCGAGCGUUGUCCGGAAUUACUGGGCGUAAAGAGCUCGUAGGUGGUUUGUCGCGUUGUUCGUGAAAACUCACAGCUCAACUGUGGGCGUGCGGGCGAUACGGGCAGACUGGAGUACUGCAGGGGAGACUGGAAUUCCUGGUGUAGCGGCGGAAUGCGCAGAUAUCAGGAGGAACACCGGUGGCGAAGGCGGGUCUCUGGGCAGUAACUGACGCUGAGGAGCGAAAGCGUGGGGAGCGAACAGG
rnacentral:rRNA from 1 species